GAUGAACGCUGGCGGCGUGCCUAAUACAUGCAAGUCGAGCGAACGGACGAGAAGCUUGCUUCUCUGAUGUUAGCGGCGGACGGGUGAGUAACACGUGGAUAACCUACCUAUAAGACUGGGAUAACUUCGGGAAACCGGAGCUAAUACCGGAUAAUAUUUUGAACCGCAUGGUUCAAAAGUGAAAGACGGUCUUGCUGUCACUUAUAGAUGGAUCCGCGCUGCAUUAGCUAGUUGGUAAGGUAACGGCUUACCAAGGCAACGAUGCAUAGCCGACCUGAGGGGUUUACCUGCCAGACUCUAACUGAUCCACUGGUCAUUCUCCUCAUUGAGUCAGGAUUAGUGCAUCUUCCAACGUGGGUGAUAAGGUUGCUGAUCUUCGUGGCGUGAUUGAUUAUGAUGCUCAGAUUAUAUAUCUCUGUUAUUAGGGUAGCUUAUAUUUUUAUGUAAUUCUGCACACCUUCACGGUUCCUUAUCAGAUUGCUACGUCUAAUUACGUG
rnacentral:rRNA from 1 species